rnacentral:rRNA from 1 species
UACGUAGGGGGCGAGCGUUGUCCGGAGUUACUGGGCGUAAAGCGCACGCAGGCGGUCUGUUAAGUUUUGGAGUGACAGUUGGUGGCUUAACUGCCAAAGUGCUUCGAAAACUGACAGACUUGAGGGCUUCAGAGGGACACGGAAUUCCGGGUGGAGUGGUGAAAUGCGUAGAGAUCCGGAGGAACACCAAAAGGCGAAGGCAGUGUCCUGGGGAGUACCUGACGCUCGAGGUGCGAAAGCCAGGGGAGCGAACGGG